UUUGCUAAGUCUUUUUCUUCUGUUGUUGACAAUUCUGAGCCGUUAUAUCCUUUUUUGCCUUCCUGUUGUGAGCCUUCCCGUUUGUGAUUGCUUGCUGCCUGCCUUUGGACUGUUUAAUUGAAUUUCCGUAAAUGAUUGUUUGACCAUAGCCUGUUGUUUGACUAUGAUCUUGCUUAUCCUGCUUCAUUGUGUACGCCGGCCUCUGACCACUGCCUGCCUUGGCCACGCCUGCAAAUGAAUCCCAAUCCUUGUGGGCUAGUGUAGAUCUGACGUCACAAACCAGAUAAGCAACAGCAGCCACACCUACCAAAGCAGUGUCGACCAAGAUCACCGCAGCUUCUAGAGGUCUAAAUGUCCAGGAUAUCACAUUCCCUCUCUGUAUUUGAGAAUCAGUGUGCAAAGUAACAGAAUCUCCACCCUUCAGUGAUACCACCUCUGUACCUGAAAAACAAGGAUGAUGAAUCAGUUGUGUUUUUGAUGUUUGAUGAUGAAUACUCUUACUUUGGAUAGUAGCAAUGUAUUGGGGACUUGGUUUUAAGUGUUGUGAAUGGGGUAAAUGG